ACGUAGGGUGCAAGCGUUAAUCGGAAUUACUGGGCGUAAAGCGUGCGCAGGCGGUGAUGUAAGACAGAUGUGAAAUCCCCGGGCUCAACCUGGGAACUGCAUUAGUGACUGCAUCGCUGGAGUGCGGCAGAGGGGGAUGGAAUUCCGCGUGUAGCAGUGAAAUGCGUAGAUAUGCGGAGGAACACCGAUGGCGAAGGCAAUCCCCUGGGCCUGCACUGACGCUCAUGCACGAAAGCGUGGGGAGCAAACAG
rnacentral:rRNA from 1 species